CUACUAAACUUACCAGGACCAAAUGGCAGAAGCCUUCUGUGAAUGUCUACAUAGGCUUGAACAUCAUAAGCUUGAACAUCACAAUCUAAGCUGCGUGUGACCCCCAUAAUUAGAAAAAUUUGAUAAUUUGAUAACAACUACAGAGUACAUCUGUAUUCAAUUGACUCAGAAGAGGGGAAAGGCCAGUUUUCACAUUUGGGCUGAGUAUAUCAGCUGAGGAACAGGCCUGGGAGGGAAGACAUGAAUACAGAGUAAGAGCUUAAAGCAUGAAGUAUUAGCCCACCAGAAACUACACAGCCAAACACAUCCAAAUUUUAUAUGUUUACAAGAAGAUAGGAUUAAAUUUAUGAGUUUCCAAAUGUGUUAAAAUGGAUAUUGAUUUUUAUCUUUGAGGAGGAAUUCAAAUGUCACAAAGAAUCUGAAUCCUGAAGAGUAAUCAACUUUUCAACAAUGUAUAAUUAUAAAAAAAGGCAGGGAAGCCAGCAGACAUCAGGACUUACUUUCUAAUUAAGCCCAAAGUCACUUUAAAAAGCAGACCAUCCUGUCCAAUGACACCCAUUCCAUUGGCUCGUCCACAGCUGUCAAUACAGACCAUCUCUGGUUCCAUGUCUUUAUUAGCAACCACAAAUUGGCCAUAGAUGAGAUCUCCAACCUAUAAUGAUAUUAAAAACCAGUUCAUUUCCUCUCAGCAAACUACUCUACAGGUGCUGCUAUUGGUUCUUUCCCACAGCCAUCAAUGCCAGCCACCUCCAGUUCUGUGGCUAAGGGACUGACUACACUACAGGAUUUCUAUAGUCACUUUGGAGUUGAGUCUUGUGAAAAAAAGGAAUGCAUGUAUCAUUCCCUUUCACCAACCAGGAAAUCACAGAGGAGGAGCCAUCUCAAAGCCAGAGAACACCUCUAGGGUUUCACUGUCUAAUAUGAAAGUGACUGUAUGAGGAUGUCUGCUCUCAAAACCCUGGAUGGUGAGGUAAAAGUGUGGAGGCAAGGAUUAAUGUGACUGAGUCCAGUCAAGAGGGAGCUAAAGCCUGAACUUGCAAAGUGGAGAUAAAGGGAUGCCCAUUAUCAAAGAUCAGAGAUGGAAUCAAAUAGGAUCAAAAUAGGGUUAGGCAAUUAAAUAUGCAUGAGAAGUGAAUGAGAAGCAGCAAAGACAUCACUAAACGUCAGGCUGGGGUAGACAAGAAGAGUGUGGCUAUGCUACCUGAAAAGCCCAAACUGAAAACCCAAGGCAAUAAUAUCACUCCUCUCUCAGUUCCUAGGACCUACAGCCAGGAUGGAUGGAUAGCUGAUAAUGUCAAAAUGUGCACAACUUGUCCCUCCUCUAAGCCUACAGAAGACUUCCUUGUCCAGAGGAUAUGGACAUAAAUAAUGGAGAUGACAGAUAAAACCUUUCAAUUCAGUAGAAAUGAAACAUGCCAAGAACAAAUGUAGUCAAUGUAAAAUAAGUAUGUGGCUCUGGUCCUGGAGCAUCUGAAGAAACUCUUGAAGCCUGGGGCACUUACAUCCAUGCACAGAGAUCUAGGUCAUGCUUUGGAGACAAUUCAGGUAGCCUUCUGGAUAUUUGAGUGUUCUAGGGAAUGGAUGUUUUUCUUGCUUUGAAACCAAAGGCUCCCAUCAUUACCUGCACAUUUGGUCUGUUUCUUUUAGUUGCACCUUCAAAUGACAAGUAAGACAAAGAAGCUGGCUCACUCCCUCCAACAUCAACUUUGAAUAUAUCUCCAGAUUUUGCUGUCACUAUGCCAAUCACAUGGUCUCCUUUCACUGGAACAUACUACAAGAGGAAACAGAAUGAGAAAACAGCCAUAAAUAACAAGAUACCACUGGAAGGUACCUUCAGCUAGUCCUUUGUGGUUACCUUAUUGUCAUUAAAGAAAGAAAUCUGAUCGUAUGCCACUUUCGGUAAAAGAAAAUCACAUAAAGUGUCCGGUUUGCA